AUAAGGUUCACUAAUACACAGAGGCAGACUCGAGGAGCUCCCUACGUCUUAAUUUACCCUGAAAAGUCAUUACGGCCACUUGGCUUGCUUCUUCACGCCCUCCUUCUCUCCUUAAGCAGACCUUCUGAAAUGAGAUCUCCUAUCUGGAAGUUGCAGACUGUAGAGGUGAUGUCUCACUAAUUGUUGGCCGCUCUCCUGGUCAUUAAGAUUCAUCGGGCUCGUCCUCCUGUUUGGUUCGAUGCAAGCAGUCUGAUUAUGGGCAACUGCUCUCUGCCUGGUCCCUCCUCCUGCAGCCGCUGGUUCGCUGAAGGAUCGUCAAUAAAUGUCCGAACCAAACACAUUG